rnacentral:rRNA from 1 species
AGUUCGGACUGUAGUCUGCAACCCGACUACACGAAGCCGGAAUCGCUAGUAAUCGCGAAUCAGAAUGUCGCGGUGAAUACGUUCCCGGGUCCUGUACACACCGCCCGUCACACCAUGGGAGUCGGAAAUGCCCGAAGUCUGUGACCCAACCUUAGGGAGGGAGCAGCCGAAGGCAGGUCGGAUGACUGGGGUGAAGUCGUAACAAGGUAGC